rnacentral:rRNA from 1 species
UGCCCUAGUAACGGCGAGUGAAGCGGCAACAGCUCAAAUUUGAAAUCUGGCCCUAGGCCCGAGUUGUAAUUUGCAGAGGAUGCUUUUGGCAAAGCGCUUACCGAGUCCCCUGGAACGGGGCGCCACAGAGGGUGAGAGCCCCGUAUGGUAUGACGCCUAGCCUCUGUAAAGCUCCUUCGACGAGUCGAGUAGUUUGGGAAUGCUGCUCUAAAUGGGAGGUAAAUUUCUUCUAAAGCUAAAUACCGGCCAGAGACCGAUAGCGCACAAGUAGAGUGAUCGAAAGAUGAAAAGCACUUUGAAAAGAGGGUUAAAUAGCACGUGAAAUUGUUGAAAGGGAAGCGCUCGUGACCAGACUUGCGCCGGGCGGAUCAUCCAGCGUUCUCGCUGGUGCACUCCGCCCGGCUCAGGCCAGCAUCGGUUUUCGCCGGGGGACAAAAGCUUCGGGAACGUGGCUCCCCUCGGGGAGUGUUAUAGCCCGUUGUUUAAUACCCCGGCGGGGACCGAGGACCGCGCUUCGGCAAGGAUGCUGGCGUAAUGGUCAUCAGCGACCCGUCUUGAAACACGGACCGAGGAGUCAAGCAUUAGUGCGAGUGUUUGGGUGUAAAACCCGCACGCGUAAUGAAAGUGAACGUAGGUGAGAGCUUCGGCGCAUCAUCGACCGAUCCUGAUGUUUUCGGAUGGAUUUGAGUAGGAGCAUUAACGCUUGGACCCGAAAGAUGGUGAACUAUACUUGAAUAGGGUGAAGCCA